rnacentral:rRNA from 1 species
AGGACGAACGCUGGCGGCGUGCUUAACACAUGCAAGUCGAGCGGAAAGGCCCUUCGGGGUACUCGAGCGGCGAACGGGUGAGUAACACGUGAGUAACCUGCCCUUGGCUCUGGGAUAGCUCCGGGAAACCGGAAUUAAUACCGGAUAUGACUUCGGCCGACAUCGGCUGCGGUGGAAAGAUUUAUCGGCCAGGGAUGGGCUCGCGGCCUAUCAGCUUGUUGGUGGGGUAACGGCCUACCAAGGCGACGACGGGUAGCCGGCCUGAGAGGGCGACCGGCCACACUGGGACUGAGACACGGCCCAGACUCCUACGGGAGGCAGCAGUGGGAAUAUUGCGCAAUGGGCGAAAGCCUGACGCAGCGACGCCGCGUGGGGAUGAAGGCCUUCGGUUGUAACCCUUCGGCAGGACGAAGCGAAAGUGACGGUACCUGCAGAAGAAGCGCCGGCUAACUACGCGCCAGCAGCCGC